rnacentral:rRNA from 2 species
UUACUUAGCUUGCUUUGUAAGUUUAGUGGCGGACGGGUGAGUAACACGUGAGCAACCUGCCCAGAAGAAGGGGAUAGCUCGAGGAAACUCGAAUUAAUACCAUAUGUGAUCCUGUGAAGCAUUUCGCAGGAAUGAAAGAUGCCUUCGGGUGUCACUUCUGGAUGGGCUCGCGGCCUAUCAGUUAGUUGGUGAGGUAACGGCUCACCAAGGCAAUGACGGGUAGCUGGUCUGAGAGGACGACCAGUCACACUGGAACUGAGACACGGUCCAGACACCUACGGGUGGCAGCAGUCGAGAAUCAUUCGCAAUGGGGGAAACCCUGACGGUGCGACGCCGCGUGGAGGAUGACGGUCUUCGGAUUGUAAACUCCUGUCAUCGAAGAGUAAGGCUUAUGUAUUAAUAGUAUGUAAGAUUGAUAGUAUUCGAAGAGGAAGGGACGGCUAACUUCGUGCCAGCAGCCGCGGUAAUACGAAGGUCCCAAGCGUUGUUCGGAAUCACUGGGCGUAAAGGGAGCGUAGGCGGUGAGGUAAGUCAGAUGUGAAAUUCCAGGGCUCAACCCUGGAACUGCAUCCGAUACUGCCUUACUAGAGUAGUGGAGGGGCAUCUGGAAUUCACGGUGUAGCAGUGAAAUGCGUAGAGAUCGUGAGGAACACUAGUGGCGAAGGCGAGAUGCUGGACACUUACUGACGCUGAGGCUCGAAGGCCAGGGUAGCGAAAGGGAUUAGAUACCCCUGUAGUCCUGGCAGUAAACGGUGCACGUUUGGUGUGAGAAGGUUCGACCCUUUUCGUGCCGGAG